rnacentral:rRNA from 1 species
UACGUAGGGUGCGAGCGUUAAUCGGAAUUACUGGGCGUAAAGCGUGCGCAGGCGGUUUUGUAAGCCAGAUGUGAAAUCCCCGGGCUUAACCUGGGAAUUGCGUUGAAUACUGUUUGACUAGAGUCGGACAGAGGGUAGUGGAAUUUCCGGUGUAGCGGUGAAAUGCGUAGAGAUCGGAAAGAACACCAGUGGCGAAGGCGGCUACCUGGGUCCAGACUGACACUGAGGUGCGAAAGCGUGGGGAGCAAACAGG